rnacentral:rRNA from 1 species
CGAACGCUGGCGGCGUGCUUAACACAUGCAAGUCGAGCGGUAAGGCCCUUUCGGGGGUACACGAGCGGCGAACGGGUGAGUAACACGUGGGUGACCUGCCUUUAGCUCUGGGAUAAGCCUGGGAAACUGGGUCUAAUACCGGAUACGACUCCGCGGUGCAUGCUGUGGGGUGGAAAGCCUUGUGCGGCUGGAGAUGGGCCCGCGGCCUAUCAGCUUGUUGGUGGGGUGAUGGCCUACCAAGGCGACGACGGGUAGCCGGCCUGAGAGGGCGACCGGCCACACUGGGACUGAGACACGGCCCAGACUCCUACGGGAGGCAGCAGUGGGGAAUCUUGCGCAAUGGGCGAAAGCCUGACGCAGCGACGCCGCGUGAGGGAUGACGGCCUCGG